GAUGACAUAUAUAUAUAUAUUUUCAGAAUAUUAAAGCAUGCAUAAAUAUUUUCACACCUGCAUGUAAGUGGCGCACCUGUAAGAAAGCAGUGGUCGAAUGCCUUGUAUGUGACAUGUAUCCUAAUAGGGCAGGGAACAGUAUUCAAUUUUAUUAUUUUAUUUUUUUAGGGAGAAUUGUUAACAAGGCCAUAAAGGUUCUGCAAUGUAGAAAUACUGUCCACACUGUAGUUUGGCUGCCAUUUUAUAACACGGCCUGACCUCUUCACAGCUUUUUCAUGUUUUAUUCAUUUCUUAGUUACAUCAUUUCAUUUGCAAAUUUGUGUUUGUUUUAAUUGCAUCAAAGCAAACAGAAUUUCGUAUAAAUGUUUAUUUCAGCUCUUUAGAUUUGUUUUUAUUUGACUAGGGCUUUAAUUGCUCUCCCUGUCUGUUAAGUAAAUCUUGAAAUUCUGGAAUAAUCAUUUUUUUAUCUCUACUUUUAUAGCGUUUUUAAGCUGUAAAUAAAUCCCAGAUCAACUUUGUGACUUAUCCAAGUUUUUCUUUUUUUGUAUUGUUUUAAUUAUCAAAUUAUUUACCUGCGGUUUUCCUUCCAGUAUACAUCAUAAAUAGGAACUGGCUGGUCUGCAAUUUAACCCUUUGAAUGCCCGUAGGAUUAGCAUUACUUUUUUUCAUGCCUAAUGUUGCAGACACUCAAAAGGGUUAAAUAGAACAAAAAAAAUUACUUGAAAAUGUCUUUUUUCUUUUUGCGACUGGAGGGCAAUUUUAUGAGCUCAAAGGCUUGCACCUCAUAUGCGCUGAGAACUGAACAUCUCUUGCAUCUGCUAUGCUGGGGAUACUUUGUUGAAUUUUAAAUGUUCUAUUUAACAGGGGUUUUAUGGGUUAUUUUGUGCAUGUAAAACUGAAGGAAAAUGGCAGCUGUUGCAUUGCUUUGUUAUCCUUGGUAUAGGUUUUUAAUCAAAUCUAUUUUUUUUUUUUUUAACUCAUUGGAAGACAGUUGGUAUGUUGCACAUUGAAAGAAUUACUCAGGAUAAUUAAAAUAAGCUACUGUACAUUUCAUCAGAUGUACUCUUUACGAUUUAGAAAAAAAGAUUUGUCAGAAAAUAUCUGAAUAGCCAUGAAAAUGCACGCAACGCCAAGACGUUAAUGUGAACGCUUUGAAUCAGACAUUCCUUUUUGUGUGACAACCAAGAAAGUUCCAAAGAGUUAAACUAUUCCUAAAUGUGAAAUUUGGUAGCUCUAACUGUAAUUUACUUGACUCUUAUGCUGCGGCCUCAAAGUCUUAAAACUCUGUCUCCCAAAUCUUUAAUUGCUCAGACGCACUCUCACGAUUCUGCUCUAUACUGGAAGAUUGGCGCUUUACCUGGCAGAGCAACACCUCAGCUGAUCAGUGUUACUUUGUAGAUUACUAUGUCUUCCACAUUUCAAGCUCUCUUCCAUUUUGGGUUUGUGCUACUUUUCCUACUGCUUUAUUGUAAUUGUGGUGUUCCUUUUUUUUUUUUU